CUGCGGUGAAUACGUUCCCGGGCCUUGUACACACCGCCCGUCAAGCCAUGGAAGUUGGGGGUACCUGAAGUACGUAACCGCAAGGAGCGUCCUAGGGUAAAACCGGUAACUGGGGCU
rnacentral:rRNA from 1 species